AGGAGAGUUUGAUCCUGGCUCAGGACGAACGCUGGCGGCGUGCUUAACACAUGCAAGUCGAACGAAGCAACUUAUUACGAUCCCUUCGGGGUGACGAUUUGUUGACUGAGUGGCGGACGGGUGAGUAACGCGUGGGUAACCUGCCUUGUACAGGGGGACAACAGUUGGAAACGACUGCUAAUACCGCAUAAGCGCACAGCUUCGCAUGAAGCAGUGUGAAAAGUUAUUUCGGUACAAGAUGGACCCGCGUCUGAUUAGCUAGUUGGUGAGGUAACGGCCCACCAAGGCGACGAUCAGUAGCCGACCUGAGAGGGUGACCGGCCACAUUGGGACUGAGACACGGCCCAAACUCCUACGGGAGGCAGCAGUGGGGAAUAUUGCACAAUGGGCGAAAGCCUGAUGCAGCGACGCCGCGUGAGCGAAGAAGUAUUUCGGUAUGUAAAGCUCUAUCAGCAGGGAAGAUAAUGACGGUACCUGACUAAGAAGCACCGGCUAAAUACGUGCCAGCAGCCGCGGUAAUACGUAUGGUGCAAGCGUUAUCCGGAUUUACUGGGUGUAAAGGGAGCGUAGGCGGUUUUACAAGUCUGAUGUGAAAGCCCGGGGCUCAACUCCGGUAUUGCAUUGGAAACUGUAGAACUAGAGUGUCGGAGGGGUAAGUGGAAUUCCUAGUGUAGCGGUGAAAUGCGUAGAUAUUAGGAGGAACACCAGUGGCGAAGGCGGCUUACUGGACGAUUACUGACGCUGAGGCUCGAAAGCGUGGGGAGCAAACAGGAUUAGAUACCCUGGUAGUCCCCU
rnacentral:rRNA from 1 species